AUUGAACGCUGGCGGCAUGCUUUACACAUGCAAGUCGAACGGUAACAGGCCGCAAGGUGCUGACGAGUGGCGAACGGGUGAGUAAUGCAUCGGAACGUGCCCAGUCGUGGGGGAUAACGCAGCGAAAGCUGCGCUAAUACCGCAUACGAUCUCUGGAUGAAAGCGGGGGACCGAAAGGCCUCGCGCGAUUGGAGCGGCCGAUGUCAGAUUAGGUAGUUGGUGGGGUAAAGGCCCACCAAGCCAACGAUCUGUAGCUGGUCUGAGAGGACGACCGGCCACACUGGGACGGAGACACGGCCCAGACUCCUACGGGAGGCAGCAGUGGGGAAUUUUGGACAAUGGGCGCAAGCCUGAUCCAGCAAUGCCGCGUGCAGGAAGAAGGCCUUCGGGUUGUAAACUGCUUUUGUACGGAACGAAACGGUUCGGGUUAACACCCUGGGCUAAUGACGGUACCGUAAGAAUAAGCACCGGCUAACUACGUGCCAGCAGCCGCAGUAAUAC
rnacentral:rRNA from 1 species